GACGAACGCUGGCGGCGUGCUCAACAAAUGCAAGCCGAACGGAAAGGCCCUGCUUUUGUGGGGUACUCGAGUGGCGAACGGUUGAGUAACACGUGAGUAACCUGCCCUCGACUUUGGGAUAACUUCAGGAAACUGGGGCUAAUACCGGAUAGGAGCUCCUGCUGCAUGGUGGGGGUUGGAAAGUUUCGGCGGUUGGGGAUGGACUCGCGGCUCAUCAGCUUGUUGGUGGGGUAGUGGCUUACCAAGGCUUUGACGGGUAGCCGGCCUGAGAGGGUGACCGGCCACAUUGGGACUGAGAUACGGCCCAGACUCCUACGGGAGGCAGCAGUGGGGAAUAUUGCACAAUGGGCGGAAGCCUGAUGCAGCAACGCCGCGUGCGGGAGGACGGCCGUCGGGUUGUAACCCGCUUUCGCCUGUGACGAAGCGUGAGUGACGGUAAUGGGUAAAGAAGCACCGGCUAACUACGUG
rnacentral:rRNA from 1 species